GACGAACGCUGGCGGCGUGCUUAACACAUGCAAGUCGAACGGAAAGGCCCUGCUUUUGUGGGGUGCUCGAGUGGCGAACGGGUGAGUAACACGUGAGUAACCUGCCCUUGACUUUGGGAUAACUUCAGGAAACUGGGGCUAAUACCGGAUAGGAGCUCCUGCUGCAUGGUGGGGGUUGGAAAGUUUCGGCGGUUGGGGAUGGACUCGCGGCUUAUCAGCUUGUUGGUGGGGUAGUGGCUUACCAAGGCUUUGACGGGUAGCCGGCCUGAGAGGGUGACCGGCCACAUUGGGACUGAGAUACGGCCCAGACUCCAACGGGAGGCAGCAGUGGGAAAUAUUGCACAAUGGGCGGAAGCCUGAUGCAGCAACGCCGCGUGCGGGAUGACGGCCUUCGGGUUGUAAACCGCUUUCGCCUGUGACGAAGCGUGAGUGACGGUAAUGAGUAAAGAAGCACCGGCUAACUACGUG
rnacentral:rRNA from 1 species